rnacentral:rRNA from 1 species
CCUACGGGAGGCAGCAGUGAGGAAUAUUGGUCAAUGGACGAGAGUCUGAACCAGCCAAGUAGCGUGAAGGAUGACUGCCCUAUGGGUUGUAAACUUCUUUUAUAUGGGAAUAAAACGUUCCACGUGUGGGAUUUUGUAUGUACCCUAUGAAUAAGGAUCGGCUAACUCCGUGCCAGCAGCCGCGGUAAUACGGAGGAUCCGAGCGUUAUCCGGAUUUAUUGGGUUUAAAGGGUGCGUAGGUGGAUUGUUAAGUCAGUUGUGAAAGUUUGCGGCUCAACCGUAAAAUUGCAGUUGAAACUGGCAGUCUUGAGUACAGUAGAGGUGGGCGGAAUUCGUGGUGUAGCGGUGAAAUGCUUAGAUAUCACGAAGAACUCCGAUUGCGAAGGCAGUUCACUGGACUGCAACUGACACUGAGGCUCGAAAGUGUGGGUAUCAAACAGGAUUAGAUACCCUUGUAGUC